rnacentral:rRNA from 1 species
CCAGUGGCGGACGGGUGAGUAACGCGUGGGUAACCUGCCCCGUACAGGGGGAUAGCGUCGGGAAACUGACGGUAAGACCGCAUAGGACCACAUAUUCGCAUGGAUAAGUGGUGAAAAGGGAAACCUGGUAUGGGAUGGACCCGCGUCCGAUUAGCCAGUUGGCAGGGUAAAGGCCUACCAAAGCUUCGAUCGGUAGCCGGACUGAGAGGUCGGACGGCCACAUUGGGACUGAGACACGGCCCAGACUCC